GCUGAGGUGGCCGAGUCGGGUUCAAGGCGCAAGGUUGCUAACCUUGUGUGCUUCGGCACUCGAGGGUUCAAAGGAACCCUUUAGCAUAUGUAAACAUGCUAAAGCGUUCGCGGAAAAUACGCUUCCGCGCGGUUCUGGGAUUCCCUCCCUCAGCG
rnacentral:tRNA from 1 species